UACAGAGGGGGCAAGCGUUGUUCGGAAUUACUGGGCGUAAAGGGCGCGUAGGCGGCCUUCUAAGUCGAACGUGAAAUCCCCGGGCUCAACCCGGGAACUGCGUCCGAUACUGGAAGGCUUGAAUCCGGGAGAGGGAUGCGGAAUUCCAGGUGUAGCGGUGAAAUGCAUAGAUAUCUGGAGGAACACCGGUGGCGAAGGCGGCAUCCUGGACCGGCAUUGACGCUGAGGCGCGAAAGCCAGGGGAGCAAACGGG
rnacentral:rRNA from 1 species